rnacentral:lncRNA from 1 species
UUUAAAGAUCAAUAAUUUUAAGUCAAAAAAUAAAUUUUUAAUAUUUUUAUGAAUCAUUCAAUUUCUUAAAUUUUAAAUUUUAAAUUUUAUUAAUUUAAAGACAUUAUUUGUAUAACAAUGUCAAUAUUUUAUUAUUUUAAAAUAUGUUAUUAUCUUUAAACAAUUUCUUACAUUAAUUUAUAAUCAAUUGUCUAAUUAAAUAAAUAAAUAUAUAACUGCUAUUAUAAAGGGAUAUUAUUAGACCAAAUUCUUGAAAUUACC